AAAGCUUCCAAUCGUCCUUUGGAGAGGACGAGGUGCGGAGAAAGUCCGUUCGCUUGGGCGAGGUGUAGCAGCAGCGAGCGGCUGGAGUCUCGGUUGCAGUCUGACUAACCGAAGGGGUCGCCGUGGAUUAGGAGGGCUUGUUCAACGUGGCUUCACUUCUAAGUGCCCGGUUGGAUUUGAUUGCUGUCAUAGUGUGAUACCGCUGUGUACACAUCCUUUUUUAGUCAACGAGAUCUGUAUUACUGCCAGAUUGUGGUUCGUGUUUUUUACACUGUCUGACCUGCUGAGGAUUUCCAGCAGUUCGAUGCUUCUAAUUCAGACUUCCAGCCAUCACAGUGUUUUACUUUGUGAUUUUACCUGGAAUUUUUCCCAAUGGCAUUCCCACCGUCCAUUCAUUCCAAGAGAUAGCAGCCAUUGGCUCUGAAAAAGAAAUUGGGUGAGACUUCUGAGACUUGUACUGGUGUUUCAGGUAAAAUCAUAUAAUUCUAAUGUCAAAGAAGGAUGCAACCUGAAAAUCAAAAAUCUGCAGCUAUUGGGUAUCUGAAAUAAAUACAGAAAAUGCCGGAAACACUCAGCAGGCCAGACAGCAUCUGUGGAGAGAGAAACAGAAGUUAAUGUUUCAGGUUGAAUACCCAAUAGGUCCAUGUCUAGUAAAACACAGUAUUCCACAAAGAGGAACCACGUAACAAAGCAAAGGAAUAUGUUUCAUCACCUCUUCACCCUGGUAACAAUUACAUCAUGUAAA